UACGGAGGGGGCUAGCGUUGUUCGGAAUUACUGGGCGUAAAGCGCACGUAGGCGGCUUUGCAAGUUAGAGGUGAAAGCCCGGGGCUCAACUCCGGAAUUGCCUUUAAAACCGCAUCGCUAGAAUUGUGGAGAGGUAAGUGGAAUUCCGAGUGUAGAGGUGAAAUUCGUAGAUAUUCGGAAGAACACCAGUGGCGAAGGCGACUUACUGGACACAUAUUGACGCUGAGGUGCGAAAGCGUGGGGAGCAAACAGG
rnacentral:rRNA from 1 species